ACUCACAUUGAGAUACAAUUGAUUACACAUGCUCUCCCAAAAUGCAUAGGAGUCCAUGUACAUCCUCACACGCACAUGCAUACAUGCAUGUAUAACUGAACACGGGUGUUCACAUUCAUUCACAGACAAGCACCAUGUAACAAGUGAAAUGUGGUACUGGUAGGGUUAAUGGAGGCCCCAGACUCCCAUAAAUAUUUAUAUGAAGCACUCAAGCUCUCAAAGUGGGAGACAAAACCUCUUCCCACAAGGCCUUGUAAAUCAUGCAGCUGCUGCGUGUUACCUGUCAGAUCCAGGGCUGUGCAGUCCGGCAUUUGCUCCAUGAGGGCGGCCACAUACGUGCUGGAGCACACGGCACUCUCCUUGCCUAGCCAGGCAUCCCAGCAAAUGUGCCAAGGUCGGUCCCCACUCCUCGGAUUCGCGAGCAGCAGAAGGAAGCAUUUCAAUGCUGCCGCUGCUGCUGCUGCUGCAAGCACAGGACUGAAGGAAUGAAGAGGCAUUAUGUGAAUAUCUGAGACUUGGCUUCUCUGGUAAAGACAGAUGCUAUGCUGUUGUUAUCCUGGAGGGACAGCAUGUGGGGGCCUUGGUGAGAAGGUGGGUGCAAAAAUGAUUAAGGGUCCUGAGCUGAAUCCAAGUUUGGCGCAGUAGGGACUCCAGCCUCUGGAGAUGCUCUCACCCAGCAAAAUUUUGGGUCCCAGGAGCCUACUGAAUCACAGUUCUCCACGGUGCUAUAACCUUUUGUUUAGUGAAUACCCUGCUUCUAGUCCUGCCACCUAAAACCAUUCAUUGGAUUGUUUAACAAAUUAUUUGUCUUUCAUACGUCAGGCACUGUGCUAGGUGCUGGCAAUAUAACAAUGAACCAAAUCAGAAACAACGGAGUUUACAAUGUAUUAGGAGAGAGAGACAUCAGUAAGAUAUUGUACUAAUGAGCAUAAAAUUUCUUCCUCCUUCUCCUCCUCCUCCUUCAGUGGAGUCUCACUCUGUCAUCCAGGCUGGAGUGCAGUGACCAUAGUUCACUGUAGCCUCAAGCUCCUGAACUCAAGUGAUCCUCCCACUUCAGCCUCCUGAGUAGCUGGGACUUCAGGUACAAGCCAUCAAGCACUGCCAAUUAGUGUACGAUUUCACAAAGAGAUAACUGAUACGAAGGAAAGCCACCUGGCUCUCUGAGAGCAUGCAUAGGACAGUGGAGCUGAUGUACAGGAAGAGUGGUCAGAAAAGCCUUCCUGGAGGAAGUGAUGUUUGAGCUGUUAAAGUCGAAUAAAAGUUAACCAAGCCAAAAAAGGAGCCAAAACACUCAAGUGGUGCACUUGGGGACACACUGUGGCAUCUGUGGAGAGAAAGAAGAAGUUGACACCUGAUAUGAGAGGAGGGACCUUUGGAGACAGAACUUGUCCAUGAUGUUUUGUGUGUGGUGGCUGCUGUGAUUGUCAUGGGCAUGGCUGGGCUUAUCAGUGGUGUCUCCCCAGGAGGUGUAAGGGGGCUGGAUCUGAGUGUAUCAAGUGUCUAUGGCCAGGACUUACAGGAAGAGGCAUGAGCUUAGGAAAUACUCCUAGAAGCAACCUGGAAGGAAGAAAGCCCAGACUCUGCAUGGCAGCUGGGGAGAUCGUCAAGCAGGUACAACCAGUUUUAUCCUCUGGCCAAGAUCUCUGGUUCAAUUCACACUGAAAUUAACUGGCAGGGAAGGAAGACCUUGGAAGGUGGUGUGCAAACCCCAGCAGGAGCUCCUGGGAAGUGGGAUUUACAGCUGUGAAUGUACAUUGAAAGGAAUCUGGAGUUUCAGUCCUGAGCGCAAAUAUUCUUACCCCCACACCCCCACAGUUUUUGUCCAGAUGCUCAGAGCCCUGGCUGGGGAACGAAGAUUUGCAUAGUUGCAGCACAGACUUGCUUCCCACCUUGGGAACUACUUUAUGGAGUCCUGAGACCAAAGGCCUGGAUCCCUAACUUAUUGAUGACACAGCCAGCUUUUGGUGUCCAUGUUGCUGUGAGUCUGUGUGGGUUAAGUUCGUCCCGGUAUGCAUGUGUGUGUGUGCACAUGGGCUCAUGGAAGAGUGUGUGUGCACAUGCAUAUAUAGCCACAGAAAAGCACUGUGCCUCAGUGGUUAAGAUGGGGAGACUGAAGUCAUCGUGCCUGGGUUUGACCAUCACCUCUGCACUUACUGGCCCUGUGACCUCACACGUGUUAUGUUACCUCUCAUGGUUUCAAAUUUUACAUCCUGUGAAUGGAACUAUACUAUUGCCAAGUGUUAAAGCUCUUGUGAAAAUUAAAAGAGAUAAUGCAAAUAAAGUGCUUAGCACAGUUUCUGAUGCAUAGUAAAUGCUCAAUAAAUAGUGAUUGCCAUUUUCAUUGUGUUGUAAAUAUAACAUAGGCAUUGUGAAGAAAAGCGCAGGCUCUGAAACUUGAGUGUUACCUCUAAUACACUAUUUGUGUGAUCUCGGACAAAUUACUUAACCAUCCAUGUCUCAGUCUCUUCCAUAAAAUGGGGAUAAUACUUGUGCCUACUCCAUAGGAUUAUUAUGUCAUAAAGUGCUUAGAACAGUGUCUGGUGGAUACAUGGGCCUCUGCUAUUAUUGCCAUCAUGAUCGCCAUCAUUGCCACCACCCACCUUCUUCUUCUUUUUCUUCUUCUUCACUGCUGUAAUCAUGACCUUGCCAGCCAUGAUUGGUGCCCACUUACUCCUCUAGAGGACAAUCUACUGGUGAGGAGAUCUCUAAGGCGCUUGGUCCAUGCUUAGAUCUUAGAGAAGGGCCCAGUGAAGUUCCCAAGUGUCAUCUAGGAUAGCAUGUAGCCUUGAGUUCAAGUCCUGCCCUGCUGCUUUAGGCCCUCUUUGCACAAAGUGCAGUCAGCUACAGCUGUCCUUCUCAAGGCACUCUGAAUGGUGAGCAAGGAGCCGGCUCCUGACCCACACUCUGCCUUCUGGUAAUGACACUUGGCUCCAUCCCCUGCCAGGAGAGCUCAGCUGGCCCAGCAGCCUGGGCCCUCAGCGCUCACUGCUCACUGUUGUCCACUCUUGGCUCCUUGUAAAGGAUCUUCAUCCAGCACUUAGGAGAGCAGAGGCUAACCUUCCUUGGACCCAGGCAGGAGGUUCUUACUGGGGGUGGGGUGAUCCUCACUUUGGCAUAUUAGCAAGACCCUGGCUUCUGUAGAUUGACAGUCCUGGCCUGAAAUUCUGGCUUCAACCCCUGAAUGGCCUGGGGAGGCCGGGUCAUCUCUCUAAGCCUCACUUUCUGCAUAUGUAACAUGGAUAGAAUCAUGGUAAUCUGGUAAAGUGGUAAAUGAGAAAUGAGGGGUGAAUGGGAAAAUGCCCAUAAAGCAUAAACACAGUGCCUGGCACAGAGGGGGUGCUCAUCAGCAAAUACAGCCCGCUCUCUACCUUCCCCUCCUAACAUCCUUCCCAUCCUAGGGGAGUUCCAUGGGACAGGAGAUGGUGAGAAGCUUGAAGGGGACAAAGGGGCUAAGACAUGCUCCCCUAAAAGCAGGGACAAGUGUGGGUUCCUCUGAGGGUGAGAUUGAGGAUGGGCCAGGCCUGAGCCCAAGGUCUGUUGAGGCCUAUCCCUCUCUCCAGGGUGUGUGCUCACCAUGCCCUUCCUGGUGUCCCUGGGAUCCAAGAAGGUCAUGGACAGGUAUAUGGGCUACUGCCCAAGAGUUUGAGAGUGAAGUGUAUAUGUAAGUUACUGAGAACACGCUCAGCUUCAGGCACAAAUCCACUCAUUCACUCAUCAAAUGCUCGGCGCCUGCUCCAUGCUCAGCCCUUCUGCACUCCUGACUUUGCUGAUUCUCGCGCAACCCAACCAUAACUCCAUGUGACUGUGAGUGGGGGCUUCCAGAGCCUGGGAGGUUUGCCAAGUCCUCCUGCUAAGUGGCUGAGCUAGGAUUUGAACUGAGAUCUGUCUCACCACAAGGCAUGUGGUGCUGGCUCCAGAGUCUCUGUCUUCCUGGAGGCUGGCAUCUUGUGAGGGAUGUUUGAGCCUUAUGGAAACUCAGGGUGCAGGGUCAGGAAGGUGGAUAAAGGACAUGGAGUGGGAGCCAAGAGGAGGAUAAGAGCUGGUGGGGAGGAUGGAGCAGGCUUAGGAGAGGAGGCAGCCUUUGUGUUUGUCAUCAACUUAGACAGAUGGAGCUGGGGGACAGGGCUCUCAGUGGAGGAAUUAGCCUGGGUGAAAGCUCACAGGUGGCAAUGGAGGGAGUUUCCAGAACAGCAAGUAGGCCCCAUGUGGCUGGGGAGUGAGGUGCCGGAUAACUGGAACUGGGAAGCAGAGGCUGCACACAGGUCCUAAGGGACCUUGAGAGCCAGGGUAAGGAGCCUGGGUAUCACCCUGCAGGGAUGGAAUGCUGCUGCCAUAUUUCUGCUGUGUGACCCAGCCCAUGGCCACAGUUGUUUGGAGCAAGUUGGGCCAAAAGCCUCAUCUUUCCUUGGAAAUUGGUGUUUGGAUUCUGGGUACUGGUCAGAAUGUGGUGGGAGCUUGAAUGGGAAAGGGUGAGAACAGGAAACCAGGAAGCCUCACCCAGGCCUUGUGCAUAAGGAGCCACAGAAAGGCUCUCUGCAGAGAAGGAGAGGCAAAGCAGACAUGUAGAGAAUGCAGAAGAGGUUGGAGAUGGCUUAAUGAAACUGUAUAAUAGAGUGAGCCAAAGCACAUUAAAAAUUAGUUUAAAAAGACCCCCCAAACAGAAAACAAAAACAAAAGGCAGAAAAUAAAAGCAAGGUAGGUAAGUCCAGAUUGAACUAGAAGUGACAUGAUGACGUAAAAGCUGUGUUGAGAUGGGCCAAGAGUUGAUGCUGGGCCUCCUAGUGGCCAAUGGGAAGAGGGAAAAAAGAUCAACUGUGAGACCCAUGGUGUUUCUCAAGGAAAAGCAAACCCACUGCUCAGGAGAGAUCUCCUCCUAAGAUCUACUCACUGCCUCUGGGACCAGGACACAGCCAGGCGGCUGCUGGCAUGGUGCCUCCUCAAAUCAGCAGGGCCCACAGCUCCCUCCUGGGCCUGUGUCCACAGCUGACUGCUCUGCAGAGCCAGGCUCUGCCAGCCUGCAAUCUCCUAGAGCCUCCUCUGUGCCCAGCCCUGGGCGGGGCUGAGAACUGUGCCCCCAACCCAGUCCAGCCCCCAUCACGUGCUCCGUUAGCACCCUGUACACCUCUUUCCUGCACAAAUCCCAGGAAUAGAUAAAUAAUUAUCUGCUAGAACACACGUUUCACAGGACAGGGAUGUAUGGGGUGCCUGGUCAGCACUUGCAGCAGAGUGGGUGCUGUAUGUUGCUGGAAUGAAUGAAUGGAUGAAUGGAAUGAAUUGAGUAAAAUUUUGUCAUGGCUGGUCCUGUGGGGUCAGGAGAUCGCUGUUUCCAUUUUAUAGUUAAGAAACUUCAUUUCCACCGCUUUACCCAUUUCUACCUGCCUUUCGGGCUACUGCCAAAAUGUUAUUCCCUUAGGAAGGCAAGGACUAAAGCUUUAGAUUGGGUCAGCUACUCCCCACCUCCACCAUGGUUAAACCCCCAUGUUUCCAAGAUUUGCUCUGAUUCCCUUGUAGAUAUAUUCAUCUGCUGGGCACUGUUAAUUUGGAUUUAUGACCUCUUAACUCCUAACACCACCACUUACAUAAUGUGCAGGGCCCAGUGCAAAAUGGAAAUAAAAUAAAAUUUUUGUUUAAAAAGUAUGAAGACAUUCAAGAUGGCCAAAGCAGAACAUUAAACCAGGCAUUGCCCUUUCUAACUGCAGAGUCCUGUGUGACUAUGCAGGUCGCAUGCCGGUGAAGCUGGUCCUGUCUCUGUGGCAGCAUGGACAUUGUAGGUCUGGUUUACUGCCGUCUCCUCCGGGCCCAAGCCUCAUGCAGUGCCUACUUCUCAUGCACAUCUCAUUUAAACAUCAAAUGAAUCAAUGACAGAAGAUGUAAAAAUAGAAGUUAAAUAACCUUAGUUUUAGCUUUCCCAUCUGCAAAAGGGGAUUAUCUUUCUUCCCUCAUAGGUAGGCAGUGAUGACUCUGAGCCUUGGGGCCACCAGAUCAUGUUACACAUGUACUGAUUCAUCUGGGACCACAUGUCUGGGUGGCUAGAGGACAGAAGUCAGCUCUGCGUGGGGCAGAGUGAGGCUGACCUGAUAAGAUCAGUGGACUCUGCUCUCUCCAGGUGGCCAGCAGGCCUCCUAUGACAUACUCCUAUCUGGCUGGAGCCCAGGGAGCCGGGAUGGGCUGUGGGCUUCCUCUUCUUCAUAAACCCUAUUCAGUGAGCACCUACCAUGUAUCAGGUCCUGCAAUAGGCACUUUGCAUGCAUUAUCUUUUAUCUGACUUCAUUUUGCAGAGGGGCAAGUCAAGGGUCAGAAAGUAACAAUGCCAUGUCCAGGGUCAGGGGCAGUCAGCUGUGGAAGCCGGAUCUGCCACGGCCUAGACCAGGGCUUGCUGAGAACAAAUAAUGUGCACUGAAAGGGGGAUUUGUGCAUAGAGCUCUGUGUGUGUUGCUUGUGCCUGUGUGCAGGACUCCAGAAAACAUCCCGUGUUUUGGCUUUAGAUGCUGCUGACUUUCUCUGGGGUCCAAGCAGCGACUCUCCAGGCAGACCUGCUAUGUGCCUGGGGCUGGAGGGAUCACAGAUUUCCCACCAGCCUUGACUCGAGUCAGUAUCAGGAAUACCCAGUGGUACUGAAACUGUAAGACAAACAUUGCUGAUUUUCCUGGUGUAACGUUUUUACACAGACUUUUGUCAUAUAUUUCCUUUUUUGUCUUUGUUUUUUUCUGAUUAAAGGAGUAAUAGUUUGUUAAGCUU